rnacentral:rRNA from 1 species
UGCCAUUGCUCAGGUAACAGAGGGCUUUGAUCCUGGCUCAGAUUGAACGCUGGCGGGGAUACGCAUAUUACGGCAGUCGAACGGCAGCACGGACUUCGGUCUGGUGGCGAGUGGAACGGGUGAGUAAUGUAUCGGAACGCCCAGUAGCGGGGGAUAACUACGCGAAAGCGUAGCUAAUACCGCAUACGCCCUUCGGGAAAGCGGAAUUUCGGGCCUCGCACUAUUAGAGCGGCCGAUAUCGGAUUAGCCAGUUGGUGGGCAACGGCUCACUGAGCGGCGACGAUCCGUAGCUGGUUUGAGAGGACGACCAGCCACACUGGGACUGGAGACACGGCCCAGACUCCUACGGGAGGCAGCAGUGGGGAAUUUUGGACAAUGGGGAACCCUGAUCCAGCCAUCCCGCGUGUGCGAUGGCGGCCUUUAUUGUGGAAGCACUUUUGCGCAGGAAAGAAACGGCACGAUAAUACCCUGCAACUGACGGUACUUCCGCAGAAUAAGCACUGUUUAACUACGUGCCAGCAGCCGCGGUAAUACGUAGCGGGCAAGCAAUCGGAAUUACUGGGCGAAGCGUGCGCAGGCGGUUCGGAAAGAAAGAUGAAAUCCCAGAGCUUAACUUUGAACUGCAUUUUUAACUACCGAGCUGAGUGUGUCAGAGGGAGGUGGAAUUCCGCGCGGUAGCAGCAGAAAUGUGUAGACAUGCGGAGGAACACCGAUGGCGAAGGCAGCCUCCUGGGAUAACACCGACGCUCAUGCACGAAAGCGUGGGGGAGCAAACAGGAUUAGAUACCCUGGUAGUCCACGCCCUGCAAACGAUGUCAACUAGCUGUUGGGGCCUUCGGGCCUUGGUAGCGCAGCUAACGCGGCUGACCGCCUGGGGAGUACGGUCGCAAGAUUAAAACUCAAAGGAAUUGACGUGGGGACCCGCACAAGCGGUGGAUGAUGUGGAUUAAUUCGGAUGCAACGCGAAAAACCUUACCUACCCUUGACAUGUCUGGAAUCCCGAAGAGAUUUGGGAGUGCCUGCAAGAGAACCGGAACACAGGUGCUGUACGUGGCUGUCGUCAGCUCGUGUCGUGAGAUGUUGGGUUAAGUCCCGCAACGAGCGCAACCCUUGUCAUUAGUUGCUACGAAAGGGCACUCUAUCGAGACUGCCGGUGACAAACCGGAGGAAGGUGGGGAUGACGUCAAGUCCUCAUGGCCCUUGCGGGUAGGGCUUCACACGUCAUACAAUGGUCGGGACAGAGGGUCGCUAACCUGCGAGGGGGAGCCAAUCCCAGAAACCCGAUCGUAGUCCGGAUCGCAGUCUGCAACCUGACUGCGAAGUCGGAAUCGCUAGUAGACCGUGGGAUCAGCAUGUCGCGGUGAAUACGUUCCCGGUCUUGUACACACCGCCCGUCACACCAUGGGAUGGGUUUUACCAGAAGUAGUUAGCCUAACCGUAAGGAGGGCGAUUACCACGGUAGGAUUCAUGACUGGGGUAAAGUCGUAACAAAGGCAG